UACGGGGGGAGCAAGCGUUGUUCGGAUUUACUGGGCGUAAAGGGCGCGUAGGCGGCCACCGCAAGUCAGUUGUGAAAGCUCUGGGCUUAACCCAGAAAGGUCAGCUGAUACUGCGGGGCUAGAGUGCAGAAGGGGCAACUGGAAUUCUCGGUGGUAGCGGUGAAAUGCGUAGAUAUCGAGAGGAACACCUGCGGCGAAGGCGGGUUGCUGGGCUGACACUGACGCUGACAGCGCGAAAGCUAGGGGAGCGAACGGG
rnacentral:rRNA from 1 species